rnacentral:rRNA from 1 species
UACGAAGGGGGCUAGCGUUGUUCGGAUUUACUGGGCGUAAAGCGCACGUAGGCGGAUCGUUAAGUCAGGGGUGAAAUCCCGGAGCUCAACUCCGGAACUGCCUUUGAUACUGGCGAUCUUGAGGCUGGAAGAGGUUAGUGGAAUUCCCAGUGUAGAGGUGAAAUUCGUAGAUAUUGGGAAGAACACCGGUGGCGAAGGCGGCUCUCUGGACCGAGACUGACGCUGAGGCGCGAAAGCGUGGGGAGCAAACAGG